AAAACACAAGUAAAACCAGAUGCUCCGCAGGGCGCAGCUUUAUACGACCGCAGAGGUUGAACCCUGAACGGUUGGGGCAAGUAUGGACACAACUUUCAAGCUGGAUUCAGCUCUAAAUUUGGACUGUGAUUAAAUAGUUGACACAGCAUAGGUUUCUGACACAGAAUGAAUGUGGUCUAAUGAAAUUAAAAUGUUUGUUUUGCCUUUGAGCAAUUCACUAUGCUGUUGAAUAUUAAUCCUCUCAAAAAAAUUGAAGAAAUAGCAAUAACUACUCAUUUAAAUACAUCAUAAAAUAUUAAAAUGUAAAACAAGUGCUUGUUAUCACUGAAUGGUAAAGAUUGUUUUAAUUUAUCAGUUGGUAGUAAAAGUGAAUAUACAUUGUAUAUUGUAUAAAACAAUGAUUUAAGUUGAUUCAACUACUAUUCUGGACAAAGAAAGAUAACUCCAAUCAAUUGAAAAUUUCUUGCUAUUGCACAAUAUUGUGCAAUUAGAUAUUUCUUGCUAUUGCGCAAUACUGUGCAAUUGAAAAUAUUUGCUAUUGCACAAUACUGUGCAAUUGAAGAUUUCUUGCUAUUGCUCAAUACUGUGUAAUUGAAAAUUUCUUGCUAUUGCACAAUACUGUGCAAUUGAAGAUUUCUUGCUAUUGCUGAAUACUCUGCAAUUGAAAAUUUCUU
rnacentral:lncRNA from 1 species